rnacentral:misc_RNA from 1 species
GAUGAAGAACGCAGCGAAAUGCGAUAAGUAGUGUGAAUUGCAGAAUUCAGUGAAUCAUCGAAUCUUUGAACGCACAUUGCGCCCCUUGGUAUUCCAUGGGGCAUGCCUGUUCGAGCGUCAUUUCACCACUCAAGCCUGGCUUGGUGUUGGGCGACGUCCUCUUUGGGGACGCGCCUCGAAACGCUCGGCGGCGUGGCACCGGCUUUAAGCGUAGCAGAAUCUUUCGCUUUGGAAGUCGGGGCCCCGUCUGCCGGAAGACCUGCUCGCAAGGUUGACCUCGGAUCAGGCAGGGAUACCCGCUGAACUUAAGCAUAUCAAUAAGCGGAGGA